GAGCAUCCGGUGCCUGCUGGGCAGUGGGAUUGGAGGACUCAUUAACGUACGAUGAUGCUUCCGAACAGGUCAGGACCGCCAGCAGUAGUAACCAGUCCCAUGAACGAAAAGCCAUAAACAUUGCAGGACCCAUGCCUGUGUGUCUCUGACUUCACACCUGGGUCCUGAUGUAUGCCACGCCUCUGCGGCGCGUUUCCAGAACUAAAGCAUCCUACCAGGCAAGAACCUUGAAUGAGGCACUUCAGCAAGUUGACACUUCAGGGAAGCCAGACUAAGCCAAAGUCCUGUACUGUCGGUGUCCCUUCAAUCCCAGAUUUUAGAGUCAAU
rnacentral:lncRNA from 1 species